rnacentral:rRNA from 1 species
GACGAACGCUGGCGGCGUGCUUAACACAUGCAAGUCGAACGGAAAGGCCCCUUUGUGGGUGCUUGAGUGACGAGCGGGUGGGUAACACGUGCGUGACCUGCCCUUGCCUUCGGGAUGACUACAUGAAAGUGAGGCUAAUAACGGCUAGGAAUGCUUGCUGCAUGGAGGGUGUUGGUAAGCUUCGGCGGUUUUGGAUGGACUCGCGGCUUAUCAGCUUGUUGGUGGGGUUGUGGGUUACCAAGGGUUUGACGGGUAGCCGGCCUGCGGGGGCGGCCGGCCACAUUGGGACUGAGAUUCGGCCCAGAACCCUACGGGAGGCAGCAGGGGGGAAUUUUGCACAAUGGGCGGAAGCCUGAUGCAGGAACGCCGCGGGCGGGAAUACCGGCUUCGGGGUGGAAACCGCCUUCAGCAGGGGCCAAGGUGGUGGUGACGGUACCGGCAGAAGAAGCACCGGCUAACUACGUG